rnacentral:rRNA from 1 species
AACGAACGCUGGCGGCAGGCUUAACACAUGCAAGUCGAACGCCCCGCAAGGGGAGUGGCAGACGGGUGAGUAACACGUGGGAACGUGCCCUAAGGUUCGGAAUAUUCCCGGGAAACUGGGAGCAAUACCGAAUGUGUCCGUAAGGAGAAAGAUUUAUCGCCUUAGGAUCGGCCCGCGUCAGAUUAGGUAGUUGGUGGGGUAAUGGCCUAUCAAGCCGACGAUCUGUAGCUGUUCUGAGAGGAAGAUCAGCCACACUGGGACUGAGACACGGCCCAGACUCCUACGGGAGGCAGCAGUGGGGAAUCUUGGACAAUGGGCGCAAGCCUGAUCCAGCCAUGCCGCGUGAGUGAUGAAGGCCUUAGGGUUGUAAACUCUUUCAGCGGGGACGAUAAUGACGGUACCCGCAGAAGAAGCCCCGGUUAACUUCGUGCCAGCAGCCGCCGCGGUAA